ACACAUGAUGAGACUCUUUUUUCGCUGCCACUGAGCGCCCCAUGCGUGGGGCGGCACGUGAUGCACACAUGGAUACACUACACUGUAGAACUGUCGUUUCUCUGACGG
rnacentral:sRNA from 2 species